GACGAACGCUGGCGGCGUGCCUAAUACAUGCAAGUUGAGCGCUGAAGGUUGGUACUUGUACCGACUGGAUGAGAAGCGAACGGGUGAGUAACGCGUGGGGAAUCUGCCUUUGAGCGGGGGACAACAUUUGGAAACGAAUGCUAAUACCGCAUAAAAACUUUAAACACAAGUUUUAAGUUUGAAAGAUGCAAUUGCAUCACUCAAAGAUGAUCCCGCGUUGUAUUAGCUAGUUGGUGAGGUAAAGGCUCACCAAGGCGAUGAUACAUAGCCGACCUGAGAGGGUGAUCGGCCACAUUGGGACUGAGACACGGCCCAAACUCCUACGGGAGGCAGCAGUAGGGAAUCUUCGGCAAUGGACGAAAGUCUGACCGAGCAACGCCGCGUGAGUGAAGAAGGUUUUCGGAUCGUAAAACUCUGUUGGUAGAGAAGAACGUUGGUGAGAGUGGAAAGCUCAUCAAGUGACGGUAACUACCCAGAAAGGGACGGCUAACUACGUG
rnacentral:rRNA from 1 species